rnacentral:ncRNA from 1 species
AAAAUUCUAUAUAAAAUUUUUAACAAAUAAAUAAAUUUUUUAUGGUUUAAAAAAUUUAUUUUAAAUUUAUUUUACAUAUAAAUUUUAGUGUUAAUUAUUAAUUAUUUAAAUAAUAUUUAAUAUUUUUGUAGUAAUUAAUUUUAAAAAUUUAAGAAAUUAAGAUUUAGUAAUAUAAAAAUUAAUAACUAAUUUUGUGCCAGCAGUUGCGGUUAUACAAAAGUUAAUUUAAAUUUUUUUGGUAAUUAAUAAAUAUUUUAAUUUAAAUAUAAUUAAAAUUUUAAAUUAUAAAGUGAAAUUUUAAUUUAAUAAAAAAUUAUAUAAUAAUUAUGAUUUAAUAAAUUUUAUAAAAAACUAGGAUUAGAUACCCUAUUAUUAAAAAUUUAAAUUAAUAAUACUUAAAUAGUAGAUAAUUAUUUAUUGAAACUUAAAUAAUUUGGCGGUAUUUUAGUUUAUUUAGAGGAAUCUGUUUAAUAAUUGAUAAUCCACGAAUAAAUUUACUUAAUUUAAUAUUUUGUAUAUCGUUGUUAUAAAAAUAUUUUUUAAUAAUAAUAAUAUUUAAAAAUUUAAAUUAUAAAUUAAAUCAGAUCAAGAUGCAGAUUAUAAUUAAGAAUAUAAUGGAUUACAAUAAAUUUAUUUAUUUGGAUUUUAAUUUGUAAAAAUUAAAUGAAAUUGGAUUUAAAUGUAAUUUUAUUUAAAUUAAUAAAAUGAUUAAAAAUUAAAAUAUGUACAUAUUGCCCGUCGCUUUCAUUUAUAAAUUGAAAUAAGUCGUAACAAAGUAGAGGUACUGGAAAGUGUUUCUAGAAAGAU